CAUGUAAUGGAUGGAGCUGACAAAAAAGUAGCACCUGCUUAAGAGCUCUGCACAGGUGUGUGUGAGAAGGGAUGGGACAGACAUCAGAGAGAGAAAGGGGGAGGCGACAGUCUGCUGGACUUCAUGAAUAAGAUAAGGAGAGACAGUGUGAUAAACAGCAGCUCCUGCAACCCACUCUCCAGUGAAUAAACACACUGAAUCCAGAGUCACAAGCACACUGCAUCUACACACAAAUUAUACAUUAAUCACACACACACACACACACAUACACACACAGCUUGGCGAGUGUGUUGUCCCCUGCUGCUUAGCAGGCAGUGCUGCUCCCCUCAGUCUCUCUCUGCUGACUCCCUUUGACUCGGGGAGAAAAGUAGAGAGGAGGGGAGGAUGGUGAGAGAUAUUGUGAGGUUGGAAGGAGGGUAGGAGAGAGGACAGAAAAGCAAGACCAGGAAAUGCAAGAAGAACAGGAGAGGAGAGGGGGAAAAAGUAAAAAUAAUGUAGGUUGGAAACGGUGCACAAGGAAAAGUAGGGAAGGAAAUUUGAGAGAAAGAGUGAUGGAAGGCAGAGAAAUAAGGUAAGGAGAAAAACAGGCAGCUAAGGCAAGGAUGAGCAAAAAGGAAAGGAGGUAGAGGCUCGAUGGAGGGAUGAACAGAGCUGAGGAGAAAAGAUGGAUGGCUGGUCAUGCCAAAGACACAGAUACACAAUCAGAGUGCAUUUUCUCUCAAGUGGAGCCAGUUAAGGUGAGUCAGGUGUUGAUGGAGGCAGGAUGGAGCUAGCUAUUAAUAGCUGCUGCAAAAUAGUAUGACACUUGCUCCUGUAUAAAGGAGCGAUGGAAGGUGAGGACAUGCAGGCAGCAAACUGUCCUCACCCGAUCUGCCUGAUGUCAGUGAGCUAUAUAAGAAGUGUUGUGGGGUGGAUGGCGUGACUCAAGGCAUCGUCUGCCGGCUCUGAACCGCUGUGAUAAGACCAUCAUCCAGUAAGAUUUGGAAAGGAGCAGCAACAUGUGGAGCAUGUGGGAAGUGAACCAAUGAAAACUGGAGGACCAGCUGUGCGGGUUCCUCCCUGCCUGCCAAGAUCCAUCCGUUUCCCCCCUGGACCCCUCCGUCAUUGAGACUCCUGGAUCCCCUUACUUGGCCUCCCCUCCUCGCCUCCUGGUGCCCCUUGGAACCGCUGGACCAUCACGAGCCCCACCAUAAUGAACCUCCUGGAUCAUCAGCCGCCAGGGAUCCCCGUACCAUCUGCCGCCACACUCUGCUCCCCUCCGGAGCCCUCCACGGCCGCCGAUCCCCGGCUUCCCUCCACCUCAGCAGCCGGAACCCUUCCUCCGCCGCCGCUGCACUCCUGGACCUUCACCCCUGACCAUACUCACCCCUCCCUCAGACAAUAAACCAGCUUUUCCUCUAUUCAGCCUUGGUGGCGUGGUUCUCCGCUCGAGUCCAAACCCACACAUUGUGACAAUUGCAGUUACCAGCCUCCAGAAUCACCAUUUAAAAGCUCCUCAGAUCAAAGAAGUACAGACGCAACUGAGCAUCAGACCUUCCAGGUUAAAUUGCUGAAGAGAAGCCACUAUUGAGGAAGACCAUUAACAAGAAGUGGAGGAAAGACCAGUGGAAACCUGGAUUUUGGUCUGCUGUGUCCAAACAAGAGAAUUUUGGCUGCAGUUGCUGUGUCUUUGUCUUUGUGGGACACAGAACAGGUGAAGGUAUCUGUAUGUGAGGUUACUACCAUGAAGUGGAGGAGGAGCGACAUGUUGCUAUAUGAUUAACCAGGUUCAGCUCCCACAACAACCUGCACUGACAACAUCUGUGAUCCAAACUUAUCGUCCACACCAGUAUUAUCAUUUCAUGACUAUUUAUUGCUUAUACAGUUGUGUUCAAAAUAAUAGCAGUGUUCUUCAAAAUGUGAGUAGAGAUCAAAAUCCUGCUUGGAAAAUUCAAAGUUUUUUAUUUUAUUAACUGAGAACAAUGCACUUUACAUUUUACAUUAAAACAUGGUGAGAAAUUUCUCUAUUUUAAAUCAUUUGCAGAAAAUUACAGGAACAAAUAUUUUUGCCCGUUCAAAAAAAAUAGCAGUAUCUGCACUGUUCAUUUCAAACUUAAAAAAAAGUGUUUGAUUUGGCAUUCCUGUGAAUAAAUAAACUAAUAUUUUGUUGUGUAGCCACAGUUUUGAGAACUUCUUCACAUCUGUGAGGCAUGGAAUCAACCAACUUCUGGCAUCUGUCAACUGGUAUUCUGGCCCAGGAUGACUUGACAACCUUCCACAGUUCCUCUGCAUUUCUUGGCUUUGCCUCAGAAACAGCCCUUUUGAUGUCACCCCACAAGCUUUGGAUUGGAUUAAGGUCCGGGGAUUGGGCUGGCUACUCCAUAACCUUAACUUUGUUGGUCGAGAACCAAGAUGUUGCACGCUUGCUGGUGUGUUUGGGGUCGUUGUCUUGUUGAAACGCCCAUUUUAAGGACAUUUCCUCUUCAGCAUAAGGCAGCAUGACCUCUUCAAGUAUUGUGAUAUAAGCAAACUGAUCAAUGAUUCCUGGUAUGCGAUAAAUGGGCCCAACACCAUAGUAAGAGAAACAGCCCCAUAUCAUGAGGCUUGUACCACCAUGCUUCACGGUCUUCAGGGUGUGCUGUGGCUUGAAUUCUGUGUUUGGGGAUCGCCUGACAAAGACUCUGCGGCCCUUGGACCCAAAAAGAACAAUUUUACUCUCACCAGUCCACAAAAUAUUUCUCCAUUUCUCUUUAGGCCAGGUCAUAUGCUCUUUGGCAAAUUGUAUCGUCUUCAGCACAUCUUUUUUUUAACAGUGGGACUUCUUGCCCAUAGACUGGCCUCACACAAGCGUCUUCCAAUUGUCACAGUACUCACAGGUAACUCCAGACUGUCUUUGAUCUCCCUGGAGCUGAUCAUUAGCUGAGUCUUUGCCAUUCUGGCUAUUGAUCGAUCCAUCUGAACUGUAGUCUUCCGUUUUCUUCCACGUCUCUCUGGUUUUGCUUUCCAUUUCAAAGCAUUGGAGAUCAUUUUAGCUGAGCAGCCUAUGAUUUUCUGCACUUCUUUGUAUGUUUUCCCCUCUUUAAUCAACUUUUUAAUUAGAGUAUGCUGCUCUUCUGUACAAUGUCUGGAACGACCCAUCUUUGGUUUUCACAGAGAAUUGCAUGGUCAACAUGUGCUGGCUUCAUCCUUAAAUAAGGGCCACCUGUAUCACACCUGUUUCGUCACAUAAUGAAUGAGCUCACUGAUUGGACUCGAGACUGCUAUUAUUUUGAACACGCCCUUUUCAAUUAUUUAUUCAAUUACACAAACUCAAGAGCAUGCAUGUCAUGAAUGUUAGGUCUGCUGGUUUCUGUGACUCAACAACACCUACGAGUAAAUUAUUUGCCAUCUAAUAAUAAAAUUUCUGCCAAAAACCAUGAUUAAUCUGGUUAGUCAUGAUGGACUGCUAUUAUUUUGAACACAACUGUAUAACCUUUGUUGGUUUUUUUUUAUUAGCACAGAUGGAUUGUAUCCAGAAUUUUUAUGCUACAAUCUUGCAUUGCAGAGCUUCUUCCUUCUUCAAUGAAGGCCCUUCUCUAGGCUCUGUAAGGGCUGUUUAACAAAGAAGCAGAUUCAUGUGGCGUUUAAUCCGUUAACCUGGACUCCACUAUUAGCAGAGAUCAAGCUAGCUGAUAUGUUUUAGGAUGAGUUGGAAUACAGAGUGGAAGAAAAGCAGCCAACAAGUGCACAGCAUGUGACAGAACUACUUCAAGACUGCUGGAAAAGCUGCAGGCAACAGGUUCAUGAAGCUUGUUGGAGAAUGUCAGUGUAUGAACCUGAAUCUUAAGAAUCUUACAUUAAAAACAUAUUUUCUCUUUGUAAACACUUUGCUUACUGCAUAAACCACAUACAUUUUUCAUUUUAUAGUUCAGAUGUUUUCAGUUUUGUUCCAUAGUGUAGGAAAAAAAAGGAGUGUCCAAAUUCUUCACAGACAAUGUCUGUGAUCCCUGUGGUAGGGUAGACGGUCUGCAUAACACUUCUACUUUGGCAGCACAACACCCAUUCAUAGACAUUUACACAAUAAUAGCAACAGAGCUGCUAUGUAAGGUCCUCACCAGCCAUCUGGAGGCACCGGGGGUUCAGUAUCUUGCCCAAGGACACAAUGACAUGUGGAGGGGACAGAGAUUGAACCACCAACCUAAUGUUUAGUGGGCAACUUGCUCUACCUGACUCAGCCAUUGUCAUGCAUGUUUAUGGUGACACUGGGAGUUAAUAUGCAAAUAUGAAGCAAUUUAGGGAGCUUUUAGAGUUGCAUGUAAACAUAGGCUGACAUAUACAGUGAUACAGAGACUUUUAAUGCAAAUCAGGACUGACAUGUAUGGUGGCAUAUAGUGUUAUACGUCUGUGAGUUCUCAUGCAUAUCUAGUAGUUUAUAAGCAAAUGUGCAGUGACAGGCAAGUCUUCAACAAAGGUUUUAUGAAAAUGAAGGUGGGGUGAAAUGAAGGCUAAAGCCAAUAAAUAAACAGAAAGAGAGAAAGCA